AGUGAACGCUGGCGGUAGGCCUAACACAUGCAAGUCGAACGGCAGCACAGUAAGAGCUUGCUCUUACGGGUGGCGAGUGGCGGACGGGUGCGGAAUACAUCGGAAUCUACUUUUUAGUGGGGGAUAACGUAGGGAAACUUACGCUAAUACCGCAUACGACCUACGGGUGAAAGCAGGGGAUCUUCGGACCUUGCGCGAUUGAAUGAGCCGAUGUCGGAUUAGCUAGUUGGCGGGGUAAAGGCCCACCAAGGCGACGAUCCGUAGCUGGUCUGAGAGGAUGAUCAGCCACACUGGAACUGAGACACGGUCCAGACUCCUACGGGAGGCAGCAGUGGGGAAUAUUGGACAAAGGGCGCAAGCCUGAUCCAGCCAUACCGCGUGGGUGAAGAAGGCCUUCGGGUUGUAAAGCCCUUUUGUUGGGAAAGAAAAGCAGCAGGUUAAUACCCCGCUGUUCUGACGGUACCCAAAGAAUAAGCACCGGCUAACUUCGUG
rnacentral:rRNA from 1 species